rnacentral:rRNA from 1 species
UUGGUUUAAUUCGUAUGCAACGACGAAGAACCUUACCUAGGCUUGACACUCCUGGUAAUUUUGUGGAAACACAAAGUGCCUUUCGGGGAACCAGGAGACAGGUGCUGCAUGGCUGUCGUCAGCUCGUGUCGUGAGAUGUUGGGUUAAGUCCCGCAACGAGCGCAACCCUUGUCCUUAGUUGCCACCAUUCAGUUGGGCACUCUAAGGAGACUGCCGGUGUUAAACCGGAGGAAGGUGGGGAUGACGUCAAGUCCUCAUGGCCCUUAUAUCCAGGGCUACACACGUGCUACAAUGGCCGGUACCGACGGAGGCGAAGCCGCGAGGCGGAGCAAAUCCGAAAAGCCGGUCUCAGUUCGGAUUGCAGGCCGCAAUUCGCCUGCAUGAAGUCGGAAUCGCUAGUAAUCGCAGGUCAGCAUACUGCGGUGAAUACGUUCCCGGGCCUU